UCGGGAUAGCUCANCUGGUAAAGCAAAGGACUGAAAAUCCCCCGGGCCCCC
rnacentral:tRNA from 1 species